CAGUACUUGGUCGUUGAGUAUCGGGAACUCCAAGCUGGACACUAACUUGCAAACACUGGUAACAUUGUACCGCCGCUUGCUUCUAUUCUCAACAAGCCAGGAGAGUGCUAUUCGAUCAAAAGGUACGCACAAGCUAGACGAACAAUCGCUACCUAUGAGCCAGGGGAUCCAUUCGGUAUUUUAUUUGUUUUGGGACUCCUGAAAGUGACCGACCGCUGCCACGUUUCUUCUGGAAUUAUUUUGGGCAGACACCAUGUGCAGUCAGUUAAAACUUUACACCGGUGACGAUUCAGCUAUAUACGUG